CUCCCGUUGAAAAGGUAGGGGAUGACUUGUGGAUCGGAGUGAAAGGCUAAUCAAGCUCGGAGAUAGCUGGUUCUCCUCGAAAGCUAUUUAGGUAGCGCCUCAUGUAUCACUCUGGGGGGUAGAGCACUGUUUCGGCUAGGGGGUCAUCCCGACUUACCAAACCGAUGCAAACUCCGAAUACCCAGAAGUGCCGAGCAUGGGAGACACACGGCGGGUGCU
rnacentral:rRNA from 1 species